rnacentral:rRNA from 1 species
AGAGUUUGAUCCUGGCUCAGGACGAACGCUGGCGGCGUGCUUAACACAUGCAAGUCGAACGGAAAGGCCCUUCGGGGUGCUCGAGUGGCGAACGGGUGAGUAACACGUGGGUGAUCUGCCCUGCACUUUGGGAUAAGCCUGGGAAACUGGGUCUAAUACCGAAUAGGACUGCGCUCUUCAUGGGGUGUGGUGGAAAGCUUUUGCGGUGUGGGAUGGGCCCGCGGCCUAUCAGCUUGUUGGUGGGGUAAUGGCCUACCAAGGCGACGACGGGUAGCCGGCCUGAGAGGGUGACCGGCCACACUGGGACUGAGAUACGGCCCAGACUCCUACGGGAGGCAGCAGUGGGGAAUAUUGCACAAUGGGCGCAAGCCUGAUGCAGCGACGCCGCGUGAGGGAUGACGGCCUUCGGGUUGUAAACCUCUUUCAGCACAGACGAAGCGCGAGUGACGGUAUGUGCAGAAGAAGGACCGGCCAACUACGUGCCAGCAGCCGCGGUAAUACGUAGGGUCCGAGCGUUGUCCGGAAUUACUGGGCGUAAAGAGCUCGUAGGUGGUUUGUCGCGUUGUUCGUGAAAACUCACAGCUUAACUGUGGGCGUGCGGGCGAUACGGGCAGACUGGAGUACUGCAGGGGAGACUGGAAUUCCUGGUGUAGCGGUGGAAUGCGCAGAUAUCAGGAGGAACACCGGUGGCGAAGGCGGGUCUCUGGGCAGUAACUGACGCUGAGGAGCGAAAGCGUGGGGAGCGAACAGGAUUAGAUACCCUGGUAGUCC